rnacentral:rRNA from 1 species
GAUGAACGCUGGCGGCGUGCCUAAUACAUGCAAGUCGAACGAAACUUCUUUAUCACCGAGUGCUUGCACUCACCGAUAAAGAGUUGAGUGGCGAACGGGUGAGAACACGUUGGGAACCUGCCCAAAAGAGGGGGAUAACACUUGGAAACAGGUGCUUAUACCGCAUAACCAUACUUACCGCAUGGUAACUAUGUAAAAGGUGGCUAUACUACCGCUUUUGGAAGGGCCCGCGGCGCAUUAGCUAGUUGGUAGGGUAAAGGCUUACCAAGGCAAUGAUGCGUAGCCGAAUUGAGAGGGUGAUCGGCCACAUUGGGACUGAGACACGGCCCAAACUCCUACGGGAGGCAGCAGUAGGGAAUCUUCCACAAUGGGCGAAAGCCUGAUGGAGCAACGCCGCGUGGGUGAAGAAGGUCUUCGGAUCGUAAAACCCUGUUGUUAGAGAAGAAAGUGCGUGAGAGUAACUGUUCACGUUUCGACGGUAUCUAACCAGAAAGCCACGGCUAACUACGUG